ACACACACACAUAUAUAAUAUCAAACCUCAAUAUAUUUAAUAUAAUUAAUAUAUAACCUUAUAAGUACAUUCGACUAAAAAUUGAUAUGGACAAUGGGAAUCCAACCAUUUAAUUAAAACAAAGCAUUGUGAUGGUCCCUGCGGAUGCUGCCGUAAUGUGAUUUAUGCCCAGUGCUCUGCAUGUCAAAGUGAAGAAGUUCAACCAAGCAUGGGUAAAUGGCAGUUGCAACUAUGACUCUCUUAAGGUAUCCAAAUGCCUCGUCAUAUAAUUAGUGAUGUGCAUGAAUAGAUUAACGAGAUUCCCACUAUCCCUAUCUACUAUCUAGAGAAACCACAACCAAGGGAAUGAGCUUGCCAGAAUCAGUGGGGAAAGAAGACCCUAUUGAGAUUGACUCUAGUCCGACUUUGUGAAAUUACUUGAGAUGUGUAGAAUAAGUGGGAGUCAUUUUCGGCGCAAGUGAAAUACCGCUACUUUUAACAUUAUUUUACUUAUUUUGUGGGGCGGAGACGGGGCCUUGCACUUGUUUUUUUCCAUAAGACAUGUUUCAGUGAGUCGAUAUGGGAGGAAUACAUUGUCAAGUGGGGAGUUUGGUUGGGGCGUCACAUCUGUUAAAAGACAACGCAGGUGUCCUAAGAUGAGCUCAACAAAAACAGAAAUCUUGUGUGGAAUAAAAGGGUAAAAUCUCAUUUGAUUUUCCACCAACCUCUUGAUACUUAUAAUUCAUUUAUGGAUAUGAAUUAAUACAUUAAUUAGAUGUUUGCAUGCAUCAACAUAGUUAAUUUAAAAUAUUAAUUGCUUGAGUAAGAUUAAUUGUCCAAUGGCGCAUCUGGAGGAAUGGUUCAUGCAACCACAUGUGAUGAUAGGCUAAUAGGACUAGAGAUGUCUGGAGGGAGUAUAAAUACUUAAUUAAUGUUAAUCACACUCACCAAUGACUAAUGACCAACUUUUGACAUGAAAGGAAGUUAUUGUGUUUAAUAUGAACCUUUCAUUUAUGAGGACAACGAAGAAUAUUCCAUUUCUAUUAAAUCAUGUCCAUAGAAAGAAGAUGCAUCAUUAAUAUAGAAAUGUUUAAUACUAUUUGAUUUGUAUAAUUUUAAAUAAUAAAGAAGGGUAAAUGUCAAACAAUUUUAAUUUUUUUCAAUUU
rfam:Picea glauca, whole genome shotgun sequence.